rnacentral:lncRNA from 1 species
UCAAGCACAACUCUAAACUUCCAUAAGCAUCAAUACAUUACAUUUCUAUACUAUACUUUUACAUUACAUCAUAAUCAUGUCCACAUCUAUCCAAUACAUAAAACAUGACUCUACUCCUGCUGACCUCCUGGUCUACCCUGUACCUGCAAACCUGGGGGUUAGGGGAGAGGGGUGAGCUAUAAAGCCCAGUGAGCAGAAUAAUAAAAUAUUCAAUUUAAAUUUCAUGCUUUCAUGAAAUGCAACACAGCACAAACAAAUCACAUCAAGGAUGGACUUGUCACCAAUAGUCCUCUACAUAGUCCAAUCGUGCCAGGGGCGUAGAAUGGGCCUCACUGGUCUUUCUCUUAACAUAGUGCCAGGGGCGUAGAAUGGGCCUCACUGGCUAUCCAUACCGUAUCGUCAUCAUACCAUAACAUACGAGGACUAAAGGAUCAUUCAACAUCCAUCCACAUCAUCAUUCAAGUUAUGCAAUGCAACAUAUUCGUGAAUUCUAAUGCAAACAACCUAGUAUAUCUCAUGGCAUACGUGAUGCAUGUAUCAUGCUCAAAAUUUAUUUAUUUGCUUUGAAACGUAAGGAAUUAUUCCACUCACCUCUGGCUGAAGCUCUAAUGACUCUGAAGUAGCUAUCUCACUGCUGAGGUCCUCGGUUCCUCGGGUCCGAACCU